ACUCCUACGGGAGGCAGCAGUGGGGAAUUUUGGACAAUGGGCGCAAGCCUGAUCCAGCCAUGCCGCGUGUGUAAAGAAGGUAUUCGGAUUGUAAAGCACUUUAAGUUGGGAGGAAGGGCAGUCAGUUAAUACCUUGCUGUCUUAACGUUACCAACAGAAUAAGCACCAGCUAACUUCGUGCCAGCAGCCGCGGUAAUA
rnacentral:rRNA from 1 species